UUUGCUUCUAACUUCUCCAUCACUUUUUGGUACGUCAUGUUUAAAUUUUGCAAUGGAAUACUUGAUCAUUUAUUAUGAUCUUGUUGCUAACUCAAAUGGACAUCUCUUAUAUUGCUAAUUACAGUAAUUUAUAAGCACAUACUUAAUAUUGCUCUCAUGUCAUGAAGAAACAACCCACCAAUAGCGGUUUCCUGAAUGUUCCAUGGUGCAUGCAUUUUUCUUUUGAUUUCAGUUUCAGUGCAAUAAACAACUCUUUAGCGAAUUUAUAUUUAUCCAUUGUUUCUAUUAUAUCCUUCAUUUCUUUCCUAUUAUGUUCUCAACAAAAAUUUGUUCUUCAAUUUUUGCCUUCAUUAUUGUAGGGGAGGCGUGGCCUAGAUAGUGAGAUAGGGAACCAGGGACAUCGGGUCGCAUUCUUUUUCUAGGGUAAUGUGCAACAGGUAAAAUACAAACACCAACUUCGGUGCUUGUAGGUCGGGUUUUUAUGUACGACACACUUCAGAAAGGAUUUGGUGACCGAUGAUUGGAAUUCCUAGAGAAAUGUUGUUUCUUUUGAGCAAUUAAAUGUUGUUGUUGACUUUUGUCAUCCACAAAGAAUGGUUCCUUAAACAGUUAGUGCUCAUAACAGGUUUCUUAAUUAGCUUUUCGCUCACUUUUCUAUCCUUAAUUUUCUUAAGAUGCAUGGGUACGAAAUUGGGGUUUAAAAAAUGUGGCCAUGAAAAGUAUUUCACAUAAACCAUGGAGUGGCCAAAUUGACAAAGGGGUCCUGUCGUCAUUGCCCGUCUAUUCUCAUACUGGAUUUUGCAGCUAUUCAUUAUGGAGAA
rnacentral:lncRNA from 1 species